rnacentral:tRNA from 1 species
AAGUUGCCGGGAUAGCUCAGUUGGUAGAGCAGAGGA